AUCCGCUACAACAGUUCAUACCGCCAAACACAUAAUAGAGGAGUUAUGUCAUAAUCACACUCUAGUUGGUCUUAUAAAUGACUCCCAUAAAAAUAUUUACUGUUACAGUGAUGUAGUAGAAUCGAAUUCACUUUAUUUUUCCAACUUUAUCCACACAAACCAACCACGUUACAAUAGCUUCCCUGUCAAUUGGAUUGAACAAAAAAAAUCCUUUUGACCCACCACAUAUUUCUCAUACAUUGAUACGUAAACAACGUUAUGAACCAACCAAUGACUACAAAUACACAACUGUGCUCCUUGUGCUAAAAAGAAGAGCGAGGCAAACAUUUUUUUCCUAUAAAUUUAGUCGCUCUCUGUUUAGCAGGAUACCGAACUCCGAACUCAUAAGUUAUAAACUUUUUCAAGAAGAGAACCAUGGAGGAUGGUAAAAGGUUGAAAUAAUUCUGACCUAUCUAAAGUGAAAUCAACAGGUCUGCAAUACAUGACGACGGUAUUCUCCCAACGCCCAUAUGGGGAAUAUGUUUCUGUAUGCAGCAUAAGUGAUCAUGCAAUUUUUGUUGAAGACUCCCAUUAUUUCCUGAAAUGGUAGAAUAUUAACAUGAUUUAAAAUAUAUACAUGGGUAAAGAGGGAGUAAAAACAGAGUUAUAUGGUCUUCAACAAUACCUCUUGCGGAAAGUCACCAUUCUCCAUUUGAGAAUUUAUCAAGCAUACAGCUGCGCGGUGCAGUGGUGUUGGAUCUCUCUUGGCCUGUUUCAUUAUAUCGAAAUGGAUAUCAUUUUUAUUCUUCUACAACAGAAUCAGGAUUAUAUAUACAGAUGUAAUCAGAUGCAAUACGUUGACCAAGUAAGUAUCCAAUCAUUUGGGAAAAUGUCAAAUCAUGUGACUAGUAUAGAAACCCAGAAACCAGAAUGUAGUGGCAAACAGAAAAGCAAUCAUCGUAUUUCAGGGUGGCAAGCAUCAUAACAGAAAAGUAAAGAGCCAUGACUAUCAUACAGAUAUUAUCAGUGUGUUCAUAAGUUUGCAAGAUUUUACAAAUAAAGCAUUUUCUUAUUAGUAGGAGUCAAUUACAUGAAUUAACCAACACUUGUAUCAUGUAUGAAGUUUACAGAUAGACGAUUAACCUCUAAUCUCCCUGAAUUAUUUAGCCUAUAGAUUUUUAGUCUCUCUAUAGACCUCUAAAUAUUUGAUUAUCAUGCAUUUGGUCAACCCUCUGCACAAGUGUUGCAUUGAUUAUUUACCAAACAUGCCCAAAUCACCUAAGACGAGACUCUACCAUCUUCUUUUACAAUAGGAGCUACC
rnacentral:lncRNA from 1 species